rnacentral:rRNA from 1 species
UAAGGAAUAUUGGUCAAUGGACGCAAGUCUGAAUCAGCCAUGCCGCGUGAAGGAUGAAGGUCCUCUGGAUUGUAAACUUCUUUUAUCUGGGACGAAAACGGGAUUUUUAUCUCAAUUGACGGUACCAGAGGAAUAAGCACCGGCUAACUCCGUGCCAGCAGCCGCGGUAAUACGGAGGGUGCGAGCGUUAUCCGGAUUUACUGGGUUUAAAGGGUGCGUAGGUGGGCUUAUAAGUCAGUGGUGAAAUCUCCGAGCUUAACUGGGAAACUGCUGUUGAUACUAUUUGUCUUGAAUAUUGCGGAGGUAAGCGGAAUAUGUCAUGUAGCGGUGAAAUGCUUAGAUAUGACAUAGAACACCAAUUGCGAAGGCAGCUUACUACACAAUCAUUGACACUGAGGCACGAAAGCGUGGGUAGCGAACA